GACGAACCGUGCGAACGUUGUUCGGAAUCACUGGGCUUAAAGGGCGCGUAGGCGGGCCGGACGGUCCGGGGUGAAAUCCCCCCGCUCAACGGGGGAACGGCCCCGGACACCGCCGGCCUCGAGGGGGGUAGGGGCGAGCGGAACGCUGGGUGGAGCGGUGAAAUGCGUUGAUAUCCAGCGGAACUCCGGUGGCGAAGGCGGCUCGCUGGGCCCUCUCUGACGCUGAGGCGCGAAAGCCAGGGGAGCGAACGGG
rnacentral:rRNA from 1 species